ACAAUUAGAGAUCAUUUAAAAGUCAAAUGAUAAUUUUUAUCCAUAAAUCAAAUUCACAUAAUCUAAGUAAAUUAAGCGUCUUGGACCUUGGUACCCAAAUAUUCUUAAAAUGCCCUUUAAUCUUAUUUUCAAAUAUUUGCUUGUAUUCUUCAAAAUUUGAAAAAUCCUCUUUAUAAAUUUUUAUCCAUAAAUAAUAUCUCCACACCACAGUAAAAUUGCAUGAAUUCAAAUCAUUUUUCUUAAAAAAAUUUAAAAAUAAAAAAUAAAAAGUUCAAAAAUUGAUCAGCAUCCCUCAAAAUGCCUAGUAUCAACCUGGCAUGAAACUAUGGUUUCCUCAACCACUGCAAUAAAGCUUGCAAAAGGGAGCACCAAAUUUUCACAAAUUCCAUGCAUACAUUCAGAUUACUAAAUAUUUCAUCAUUGGGAUGGUCUUAAUAAACUUCGUGGCUCUUUCCAAGUUGCCUUUGCCUGGGUUUGUUGUCUUAUGGUUCACUCUGGUGGUAGGUAUAACACAUUUCACUAUUUUCUUAGAUGGUUCACACCCUAUUUCACUUAAACCCCCUUGUGGCUUGAGGUUGUGAUAUGGAGCCUGGUUCUUAUUCUAAAUGUUAUGAUCAUUGAAAACCCAAUGAAUGGUGAAAUGCAUCAAAUUAAAGCCAUGAAUUUCGAGCAUGAUUCAGUAUGUUUCUGGGUUACCAGACUUUGAUAGGUGGAAGGUAGUAAAUUUGAAAGGAAUGGAUGUGCCUUUCCACAAUGUCAGAAGUUUAAGUUGAAUGAAAUAUUUCAAAAGCACAGCAGGUAUUGCAUUUCCCAAUUUGUAUGUUUUCUAGUUGCAGAUCUUUUUCACUCAUGGAUCCAAUUUUGUCGAAUGUUCCAUAGAGACAUGUAUGAGCAUGAUAGUCUCCAUUUAGUUACACAGAAGAAAAUGUUCUUUUCAUUUUAACUUGGACAGCAUGGCUGGAAUUGCAUGCAAAUGGUGGUUUGUUUGCAACAUAUAAAGCUAUAAGAUUGUGAGUUGAAUUUGCUCAAUACACCGACUUGUGUGAAGCUGAUCUUUGGUUUACUUCCCAAGGGAUCCAUGGGUGUGAAGUUAGUUUCAUAGAUUCUAGUCUAUUCAGCUUGGAUGCAAACUGUGUUAUUUAUUCAGGCUGGUCCUUUAGAAUAUUGAUGACAGACUACAUAGCUUCAGAGUAAAGGAUUUGUCCGACAUUCUUAGCCAAAUAAAAGCAUGUUGAGCUUUCUAUGUAUGAUUGAAAUCCAAUGUGUGCUAUGAUUAAAUAAUGAUCAUUACUACUCCUUAGUUCUCAUUUCAUACCUUUUGUUUCAAUGGAUCUUUAUGUAAAAGAUCUAAAAGUGAUGAGUUGAUAGGAGGAGUGCUAAGUUUGAUCUAGCGGUUACUAAGUUUGAGUAUCUUAAAAUGGUAAAAUUGUUACUUUGGUAGGUCUCAAAGAAUCAGGGAAACAGCUCUGAAUUUUUAUCUGUUUUUUAUGGGAAUUGUUUUGCUCCUCUUUUAAUGUCUUUAUGGUUGAUAUGUAUGUGUUUUGGGAUUGUGGUUGAAUCUAAUUUAAAUCCAAACACAUGAUUUACAAUUAUCAUGUAGUUACUGAAACCACAUGCUUUCUUUUUUUAAUUAAUGAUUGAUUAUUGUUUGUUGUAUGUCACUGUAGCAUUAUAACUCUUGACUUGUGAAAGAAAAGCUCAUUUAUGUUGUGCAAAAGUUUCUUAGUACCCAGAUUCUUUUUUAAUUCUGUUUCUUUUAUUUCUCCACUGACAAAGCUAUCUGUAUGCAGACAAAUCCUAAGCACAAAUGCCAUGUAUUUCUCUCAAGAGGGACAAAAAUCUAUAGAUUGUUGAAGUUCCACAACUCGAUAAGUCAUAGUAUAGCACAGGAUAUUUCUUUAGCUCCAUAUUUAUCUACCAAAAGACUCAUCUUUGCCUACCAAAUAUGAGAAAUUUUGAUAUAUGAUAAGAAGUUGGUCGAAGUGAUAUCAGGUUUUUGCUAAUAAAAAAGAGCUUAAAUGCAAAGAGGUCCUGUGUUGCAUCUAGCUUGUGUUCUCAAAAUUCCUGUUACAUUUUCUCUGCUUUAGGUUUUAUAAAUUAUUAUGUUCUAUUCUGCCAUGCCCCCCACAUAUACCCCUAGUUGGAUGGUUUGAUAUGCAUAGCUUAUAUCUCUUCCCUCUCUCAUGCAAUGUAGAUAAUGUUGAUCUGGGAACAGCAUGUGGCAAGUAUUUCCAGGUCUCUUGCCUGAGCAUUGUUGAUCCAGGUGAUUCUGAUAUCAUCAAGCAAAUGCCCAGUGACCACUGAGCUGACUGUUAGAUGGGUGCUGAGGUUUAACAUUUCUCACAAACUAUAGGACAAUUUUGUUUUUUGGUACUACCAUAGACAGGAGCCUCUGUAAUUGUUGAAAUUUUUCGUCCCAUCAAAAGGGCAAAUUUGAUUUUGGUUAAAUGACAGCAGACCUUCAAAUCGCAUACGGUUUUUAGAAUCAAAAGAAAGAUAGUGUGGGAUAUCUGUGAUUGAGCUGAUGCCCUUUUCAUCCCUUGAUAAUCUGAUUUUGGUUCCUUAGAA